UACAGAGGGGGCAAGCGUUGUUCGGAAUUACUGGGCGUAAAGGGCGCGUAGGCGGUCAGCACAAGUCAGUUGUGAAAUCUCCGGGCUUAACUCGGAACGGUCAACUGAUACUGUGCGACUAGAGUGCAGAAGGGGCAACUGGAAUUCUCGGUGUAGCGGUGAAAUGCGUAGAUAUCGAGAGGAACACCUGCGGCGAAGGCGGGUUGCUGGGCUGACACUGACGCUGAGGCGCGAAAGCCAGGGGAGCGAAUGGG
rnacentral:rRNA from 1 species